rnacentral:rRNA from 1 species
GACGAACGCUGGCGGCGUGCUUAACACAUGCAAGUCGAACGGAAAGGCCCUGCUUUUGUGGGGUGCUCGAGUGGCGAACGGGUGAGUAACACGUGAGUAACCUGCCCUUUACUUUGGGAUAACUUCAGGAAACUGGGGCUAAUACCGGAUAGGAGCUCCUGCUGCAUGGUGGGGGUUGGAAAGUUUCGGCGGUUGGGGAUGGACUCGCGGCUUAUCAGCUUGUUGGUGGGGUAGUGGCUUACCAAGGCUUUGACGGGUAGCCGGCCUGAGAGGGUGACCGGCCACAUUGGGACUGAGAUACGGCCCAGACUCAUACGGGAGGCAGAAGUGGGGAAUAUUGCACAACGGGCGGAAGCCUGAUGCAGCAACGCCGCGUGCGGGAUGACGGCCUUCGGGUUGUAAACCGCUUUCGCCUGUGACGAAGCGUGAGUGACGGUAAUGGGUAAAGAAGCACCGGCUAACUCCGUG